rnacentral:rRNA from 1 species
AGAGUUUGAUCCUGGCUCAGGAUGAACGCUAGCUACAGGCUUAACACAUGCAAGUCGAGGGGAAACGACAUCGAAAGCUUACUUUUGAUGGGCGUCGACCGGCGCACGGGUGAGUAACGCGUAUCCAACCUGCCCAUCACUUGGGGAUAACCUUGCGAAAGUAAGACUAAUACCCAAUGAUAUCUCUAGAAGGCAUCUGAAAGAGAUUAAAGAUUUAUCGGUGAUGGAUGGGGAUGCGUCUGAUUAGCUUGUUGGCGGGUAACGGCCACCAAAGCAACGNUCAGUAGGGGUUCUGAGAGGAAGGUCCCCCACAUUGGAACUGAAGGACACGGUACCAAACUCCGUACGGGAGGCCA